rnacentral:rRNA from 1 species
AGAGUUUGAUCAUGGCUCAGAACGAACGCUGGCGGCGUGGAUAAGACAUGCAAGUCGAACGCUGAUUUCAGGGUAGCAAUAUUCUGAAGUUGGAGUGGGCAAGGGUGCGUAACACGUGGGUAAUUUGCCGUGAAGCCCGGAAUAACUCGCUGAAAGCGAGCUAAUACCGGAUGUGAUUUUUGGAGGGCAUCCUCUGGAACUCAAAGCUGGGGACCGCAAGGCCUGGCACUUCUCGAUAAGCCCGCGGCCUAUCAGCUAGUUGGUGAGGUAAUGGCUCACCAAGGCUAAGACGGGUAGCUGGUCUGAGAGGACGACCAGCCACACUGGAACUGAGACACGGUCCAGACACCUACGGGUGGCAGCAGUCGAGAAUUUUUCACAAUGGGCGAAAGCCUGAUGGAGCGACGCCGCGUGGGGGAUGAAUGGCUUCGGCCCGUAAACCCCUGUCAUUUGCGAGCAAACCUUAUCAUUUAAAAGAUGAUGAGCUGAUUGUAGUGAAAGAGGAAGGGACGGCUAACUCUGUGCCAGCAGCCGCGGUAAUACAGAGGUCCCAAGCGUUGUUCGGAUUCACUGGGCGUAAAGGGUGCGUAGGUGGCCGGGUAAGUCUGACGUGAAAUCUCCGAGCCUAACUCGGAAACUGCAUCGGAUACUAUCCGGCUUGAGGGUUGGAGGGGGGACUGGAAUACUUGGUGUAGCAGUGAAAUGCGUAGAUAUCAAGUGGAACACCAGUGGCGAAGGCGAGUCCCUGGACAACUCCUGACACUGAGGCACGAAAGCUAGGGGAGCAAACAGGAUUAGAUACCCUAGUAGUCC